rnacentral:rRNA from 1 species
AUUGAACGCUGGCGGCAGGCCUAACACAUGCAAGUCGAACGAGUGGCGGACGGGUGAGUAAUGUCUGGGAAACUGCCUGAUGGAGGGGGAUAACUACUGGAAACGGUAGCUAAUACCGCAUACCAUCGGAUGUGCCCAGAUGGGAUUAGCUAGUAGGUGGGGUAAUGGCUCACCUAGGCGACGAUCCCUAGCUGGUCUGAGAGGAUGACCUGCCACACUGUAACUGAGACACGGUCCCGACUCCUACGGGAGGCAGCAGUGGGGAAUAUUGCACAAUGGGCGAAAGCCUGAUGCAGCCAUGACGCGUGUGUUAAGAAGGCCUUCGGGUUGUAAAGUACUUUCAGCGUGGAGGCGUUACCCGCAAAAGAAGCACCGGCUAGCUCCGUGCCAGCAGCCGCGGUAAUAC